rnacentral:tRNA from 1 species
GCCGGGGUGGUGGAAUUGGUAGACACGGCGGAUUCAAAAUCCGCUGCUCGCAAGGGCUUGGGGGUUCGAGUCCCCCCCUCGGUACCA